CUGAGGAAGAGGCAUGUAUUUAAGCCUCCACUAUCUGUUGAUCUCAUUUAAACUGAACUCUGCGGUACCAACGAGGCUUCAUUCUGGUUGACAACAGGUUGGUGUUCUUAAUUUGACGCUUAGACCAGUCCAAGGACAGAAACGGAAAUGUCUGAGAGUCCUGCUGAAGGAGAAGGCCUUGAAUUGAGGAAGAAAAACGAAGAGAGAGUCGAAGAGAUAGUCGAAGACCUCGCCUCAGCCAUUGAGGGCCUCGGAAAGUUGAAGCCCAAGAUACAAGGAGCGAUUGAAGUAUCAAUUGGGAUCUUGAUGGCACUGGCAGCAAUUACGUAUCUGGCUGUUGGAAUUUCCAUUUACCUAACACUAAUGCUCUACUGGGAAAUCUUCAUCUACAUCCCUGCUGGGGGUCUGACCAUCGCUGCCGACAGGAAACCCACCAGGGCCAAGCUGUGCGCUGCGUUGUGGAUGAAUGUGCUGGUGGCUCUCUCGGCUAUCGCCGGAAGUCUUCUUCAUUACUUUACUCUUACUCUAAUGAGCUCGGGGGGGCAUGCCAACAGCCCUCACGAGGAACUUCUGAUAAACACUGAAUGGUUCAUGCUGGCCGCGUCCAUCUUGCUGUUCUUGGUCUCCAUAUUGGUUGUUUCAGCUACAGCGUCUGCUCUGUGUUGCUCUAGAAAGGGGAAGGCUGCUUGUGGCUGGUGCUGGCAGGUGAUGAUGGAGGCGGCUGAUGAUUGAUGCUGCUGAUGGUGGAUGCUGAUGGCGGUGGAUCGCUGCUGGUGGUGGUGGUGGUGGUGGCUUGAGCUGGCUGGUGCCGGCAAACACUGCUGCCGCUGCUGGUCGCUGCUGCUUGAGGCGAUGGCUGCUUGAGCUGGCUGGUGGUGGCGAAGGAUGGUGGUGGCGGCGAUUGCUGCUGCUAGUGGUGGCGGCUUGUGCCGGCGACGGCUGUUGGUGGUGGCGACUGCUGGUGGCUGGUGGUGGGUGGCUGGUGGUGGUGGUGGCGGCGGCGGCGGCGAUUGUUGUUCUUCCUUUCGACCUGAUGCACUUUGCUAUCCUUAACCUCAGCCUGAUGUACAGUAUGUGGAGCAUUUUCUGUUUUUAUUAAUAACAUAAUAAACAAUAUUCAUCCCUGUUCCUUCACUGUGUUCUUGUUGCUCAAGUUGGAUACACACACACACACGCACGCACGCACGCACGCACGCACGCACGCACGCACGCACGCACGCACGCACGCACGCACGCACGCACGCACGCACGCACACACACACACACACACACACACACACACACACACACUCUUGUCUCACUCAUUGUUAAAUAAAAAAAAUACUAUUUCAU
ensembl:lncRNA